AGGAGCAUAUUUAUUUGUGGAGUAUUUACAAAACAUCUUCUAAUAUCAGUCAAUAGUUAUUAGUUAUUGAUUAUUUGGUAAUAUAUCGAUAUCUCUGUGUUCUCUUCUGUCUGUGUCGUCAACAUUUGAACAUUUUUGAGCGGUCCGCUCUUUCUGACUGUAAACAAAGCCGUUCUCCACCUCCUCUAACCUGAUUGGUUGUGAGGCAGACGCUGCUCCCCCGUGUCGUUCAGGAGCCCAAACAAAGUUAGCGUGCUACAAUAUCGGACAGUAGAAACCAACCAGAAAGUUCGGAAAAUUGUCGGAAUCCUCCUUUGGCCACGACUGCCGACACAAGCAAGAAAACACUCAAACAUAAACAGUCAGCAAGAAAACAGUCAACACCAAACCAGUCAACAGGAAAACGGUCAACACCAAAACAGUCAACAAAAAACAGUCAGCAAGAAAACAGUCAACAAGAUAACAGUCAACAAGAUAACAGUCAACAAGAAAACAGUCAACAAGAAAACAGUCAACAAGAUAAUAGUCAACAAGAAAACAGUCAGCAAGAAAACAGUCAACAAGAAAACAGUCAACAAGAAAACAGUCAGCAAGAAAACAGUCAGCAAGAAAACAGUCAACAAGAAAACAGUCAACAAGAAAACAGUCAACAAGAAAACAGUCAGCAAGAAAACGUCAACCAUAAUCAGUCAACAAGAAAACAGUCAACAAGAAAACAGUCAGCAAGAAAACGUCAACUAUAAUCAGUCAACAAGAAAACAGUCAACAAGAAAACAGUCAGCAAGAAAACAGUCAACAAGAAAACAGUCAACAAGAUAAUAGUCAACAAGAAAACAGUCAGCAAGAAAACAGUCAACAAGAAAACAGUCAACAAGAAAACAGUCAGCAAGAAAACAGUCAGCAAGAAAACAGUCAACAAGAAAACAGUCAACAAGAAAACAGUCAACAAGAUAAUAGUCAACAAGAAAACAGUCAACAAGAAAACAGUCAGCAAGAAAACAGUCAACAAGAAAACAGUCAGCAAGAAAACGUCAACCAUAAUCAAUCAACAAGAAAACAGUCAACAAGAAAACAGUCAGCAAGAAAACAGUCAACAGGAAAACAGUCAGCAAGAAAACUGUCAGCAGGAAAACAGUCAACAAGAUAACAGUCAACCACAUUCAACAAGAAAACAGUCAACAAGAAAACAGUCAACCACAAACAGUCAGCAAGAAAACAGUCAGCAAGAAAACACUCAAACAUAAACAGUCAACAAGAAAACAGUCAACACCAAACCAGUCAACAGGAAAAUGGUCAACAAAAAACAGUCAGCAAGAAAACAAUCAACACGAAAACAAUCAACAAGAAAACAGUCAGCAAGAAAAUGCUGCUCCCCCGUGUCGUUCAGGAGCCCAAACAAAGUUAGCGUGCUACAAUAUCGGACAGUAGAAACCAACCAGAAAGUUCGGAAAAUUGUCUGAAUCCUCCUUUGGCCACGACUGCCGACACAAGCAAGAAAACAAAGUAAAUACCGGAGACUCUGGAGGAAUAACGGGCGCUUAAAACGGAGGUAGACCGGACAAGAGCUAAAAAGCCGGGUCAACAUAAACCAUGGGGGACGCUUGGGGAUCUUGGUGACCCUGUAACCUUUCUGCUGGACAGGUAAACUGCUUUUGUAAUGAUCUGAAGUAUUUAUCUGCAUUAUAUCUGAAUUUAAUCGGAACGAUACGAGCGAGCAGGAGCGUCUGUUUGUGGGCGGGGCUUGAGGGGAGAGGAGGAGCUGAGGGGAAAACUGGUUGGGAGGGGUCGAGUUUACAUUCAAGAUUUCUCC